rnacentral:lncRNA from 1 species
ACUUUGGUGGCUAAGUGCGACAGGGUCGGGAGCCGCGGACUUCCCCCAGCAGUGUAGCGCCGCUCCGCCCCGGAGUGACGCCCUCCCGCCCAUGGGCCUGGCCCGGGGCAACCGGCGGGCGGCGCGGAGGAGGCGGCGACAGGUGGCGCGCAGCAGGGCCAGAGCCCGGUCAGGCUAUGGCCGCCUCGGAGCGGCUCUACGAGUUGUGGCUGCUCUACUACGCGCAGAAGGACCUUGGCUACCUGCAGCAAUGGCUGAAGGCCUUCGUGGGUGUCUUCGAGAAGACUAUCUCCUUGUCUUCUCUGGAGCCUCGAAGGCCAGAGGAGGCAGGUGCGGAAGUGCCUCUGCUACCCCUAGAUGCUCUACAUGUGCUGGCAGAGCAGCUGGACCAGGACAACCUGGAGCAAGCCCUGCUGUUGC